UACGGGGGGAGCAAGCGUUGUUCGGAUUUACUGGGCGUAAAGGGCGCGUAGGCGGUCAGCACAAGUCAGUUGUGAAAUCUCCGGGCUUAACUCGGAAAGGUCAACUGAUACUGUGCGACUAGAGUGCAGAAGGGGCAACUGGAAUUCUCGGUGUAGCGGUGAAAUGCGUAGAUAUCGAGAGGAACACCUGCGGCGAAGGCGGGUUGCUGGGCUGACACUGACGCUAAUGCGCGAAAGCCAGGGGAGCGAACGGG
rnacentral:rRNA from 1 species